rnacentral:rRNA from 1 species
CUACGGGCGGCACCAGUGAGGAAUUUUGCGCAAUGGGGGAAACCCUGACGCAGCAACGCCGCGUGAGUGAUGAAGGCCUUCGGGUCGUAAAGCUCUGUCAAGUGGGAAGAACCUAUCGAUAUUGAAAAUAUAUUGAUACUGACGGUACCACAAGAGGAAGCACCGGCUAACUCCGUGCCAGCAGCCGCGGUAAUACGGGGGGUGCAAGCGUUAUUCGGAAUCAUUGGGCGUAAAGGGCGCGCAGGCGGCCGUGUAAGUCAGAUGUGAAAGCCCGGGGCUCAACCCCGGAAGUGCCAUUUGAAACUAUGAGGCUUGAGUAUGGGAGAGGGAAGUGGAAUUCCUGGUGUAGCGGUGAAAUGCGUAGAUAUCAGGAGGAACACCGGUGGCGAAGGCGACUUCCUGGACCAAUACUGACGCUGAGGCGCGAAGGCGUGGGGAGCAAACAGGAUUAGAUACCCUUGUAGUC